GGAGACACCAAGCCAGGGAGAUGACAAGUACGUGGUAAGAUCCGAGCACACAGAAUUUGGGGGAACAAGACUCUAGACAGCCUCUAGAGAGAGCUGUAUUGAAGGCCCUGCGACCCAGCACAGAGAAGGGAAUGGUGCUCUAGGUCCCUGCCUCUGUAGAAGACAAAUCCAGGAAGAGAACCAGGAAACUGCAGAGUAGCCAGCCACAUGCGAGAAAAAUCUGAAGGAGACGAAAGUGUUUCAGGAGAAAGAGGUAUAAUUUGCAGUGAAAUGCACAAAUCAGUGAAAUUUUACGUAUGCAACCUUUAUCACUCGCCACCCAAACCAGAGUGGUGUCUUCCCAACACCCCAGGGCCUCUAGUCCUUUUCCAGCGUUGCCUGAAGACACAAACUACUGAUGGCUGCAUCCACAUGACUGACUUCAAACACAGCACGCUGCACGAGAAAAGCCGGAUACGCGCGUGGGAAGUGGGUGGCUCCACCACCCUGCUGUUCAGGUUUUCUUUCUGAAAGUUCUUUGGCUUUAUUAUGGAAUAGAGGUUACAGAAAGGCAAAAGCUUUGGCCGUAGCAGGAGGGAAGAUCUUCUUUAUCCUGGAGGAGGAAGUAGGGUCUCCGUAAUGUGUGUCUGGUGCUCAGGGCUCCCUGCAGCCUGAAGCCAGAGUGUGUCCUCACCCUGCCCUGGGUCAGCCCUGUGACCUGGAGGGAGCAACUGAAACGCUCUGGGCCUCGGCUUCCUCAUCUGUGAAAUGGGGAUGCUGACAGUGCUACCUCCUCUGGUUGGUUUGUGGCAAAGGACACAUGAGGCAAUCUGUGUAAAAUGCUUGGAGGGUGGCAAGUGUGGUUACCAUGGAGAUUGACUGGUACCAUCUUCCACAUCCUGUGUUGACUAAGCACGCACACUAGAAUACAGUUCCAAACUAUUAUCAAAUGUGAAUACAAUUCAGAAAAUAAACAUGCAGCAAACCUUGCCAUAAAGAUUGCAUGAAACUAUCACUUUAAGAAAAAUAGAUUAAAAAUUACCUUAAAUACCGAAAAGUACUUUUGUAAGUAAGGAUCAGUCCAAUAAAUUUAACCUGUAUUUGAAUCACUGUAAAAUAA